UGUUCAGGUCCUGCUCUGCUGUGCACGGCAACAGGUGAUGGGGAACAAACCAUCUAGAAAA
rnacentral:sRNA from 12 species